rnacentral:tRNA from 1 species
GGCGGGAUAGCUCAGCUGGCUAGAGCGACCGGUUCAUACCCGGUAGGUCGGGAGUUCAAGUCUCUCUCCCGCUACCA